rnacentral:lncRNA from 1 species
CUACCUCACCCCUUCUGCCAAGUGAGGGCACAGCAAAAAGACGACGGUCUGUGAACCAGGAAGCAGAUUCUUACCAGAUGCUGAAUCUGCUGACACCUUGAUCUUGGACCUCCCAGCCUCGAAAACUAGCUGAAAAUCUUCUCCUCCUUCUUCACGAAGCACCUUGGAGCUCUCUUUUUUGUGAAGCCUCUUCCAGCAUCCUCAGGUCCCAUGAACCCAGUACUAUGCAAUGAAGGAUAUCAAAGAAGACAUUGUUUUUGUCCAUGGAGAGAUAACCAUCUAGCUGGGGAAGCAAAGAAACAAAAAGUAAUGAGAAAACACGUGCUCAAGGAUUUGGCACUAACAAUUCAAAAUAGAGAAAGAUUGAUGUGGAAUGGAAUUAUGAAUCAACAAAGGGCAACAAUGGAGAUGGUGUUAGAAAAACACUACCCUGAUUUGGACUUUUCUUAUCUCUUCAGCCUAUUCACAUUUUAUCCGCUCUUCAUUGUAAAAUCAACUCCACUGUAUUUGAAAUCAAUCUUGAUUAGAUCUUCCCACUUCUCUUAUCUGAGCUCAUGUUUUAUUAACCAUUUUAGUACUUUUAUCCUAUAUAUGUUUAUUCCUUGCAUGGAAAUUCCAUUAUAUAUCUCCUUGAUGUUAUCCUUGAAAAUUCCCUGGAAGUG